UCUGCCCAUUGGGAUGUGGAUAAAAAACUAUGCUUUAGGCAUAGUUGUGUAUAGAAUGUGUGGGAAUCACUCUGAUUUCACUAAGAAAUCCUUCUGUCCAGUUUUCCCUCAUCAAUGCUGUACCUUCCCUAGGGAUGAAUUGUGAGGCAGGACUUGAUGGACAUUUUGGGGGACCGCCCUUCAGCAAGUUCUUCACAGGUAGUGUGGCUUCUCUCUUUACAAGGUGGGGAGCUUUAUACCUUUGCUCUCAGCUGUAGUCAGAAAACAAUAGAACUGGAGGCAAUAUGAUUAGUUAUCUUUUAACAUCUGUGUGCACAGAGAAAGAGUACUGUAUGGUCUCUCCACAGCCUGGACUCUCCCUUUGGACCUGGAUCUCCCAAGGUUAGAGACUAACAUUUUCAUCUUUAUUUCUGUCUGCCAAUGAUGCUGAUGCCAAACUGAAUUUCAGGAAGUGCACCAGGAGGGAGGGUACAAGAAGACUGGGCAAUUAUGGAGUGGCUGAGGAAAGAAGGGACCGGAGGAGGAGAGAGAAGACUUGGGUGCAAUGCUGAGCUGAAUGGAGAAGAACCUGGACAGAAGAGUGGGGAAAUCCCCUGGAAAAUGCACAUUCCAGUAGAAGUCUUCAGGUUGGGGAAGGAUAAGAGUGCCUUACAAUUAUAAAAUUUGAUACAUAUCAUUGAAAUUUGAGCUCCAACUUUGUGAGAACCAUAUUGUGAAGUUAAUCAGGAAAUGUUGCAAUUCUACAAGGGAAUUUUCUUGAGAUCUGAAAUUCAUCUAGAUCUCUAAGAAUUCUGAAUUCAAG
rnacentral:lncRNA from 1 species